rnacentral:rRNA from 1 species
GAUGAACGCUGGCGGCGUGCCUAAUACAUGCAAGUCGAGCGAACAGACGAGGAACUUGCUCCUCUGACGUUAGCGGCGGACGGGUGAGUAACACGUGGGUAACCUACCUAUAAGACUGGGAUAACUUCGGGAAACCGGAGCUAAUACCGGAUAAUAUAUUGAACCACAUGGUUCAAGAGUGAAAGACGGUUUUGCUGUCACUUAUAGAUGGAUCCGCGCCGCAUUAGCUAGUGGGUAAGGUAACGCCUUACAAAGCCAACGAUCCGUCGCCGACCUGAGAGGGUGAUCGGACACACGGGAAGUGAGACACGGUAAAGACCCAUACGGGAGGCAGGAGGAGGGACUUUUGCGAAAGGGGAGAGAGCGUGACGGCGCCACGGCGGGAGAGUGAAGAAGGUCUUCGGCUCGUAAAACUCUGUUAUUAGGGAAGAACAAAUGUGUAAGUAAAGCUGAACGUCUGGCCGGAACCAAAUAAGAAAGCCAGGGUUACCUACGG